rnacentral:rRNA from 1 species
UACGUAGGGUCCGAGCGUUUGUCCGGAGUUACUGGGCGUAAAGCGCGCGCAGGCGGCUCGGCAAGCAUGGCGUGAAAGCCCCCGGCUCAACCGGGGAGAGUCGUCGUGGACUGCCGGGCUUGAGGGCGGUAGGGGUUGGUGGAAUUCCCGGUGUAGUGGUGGAAAUGCGUAGAGAUCGGGAGGAACACCCGUGGCGAAGGCGGCCAACUGGGCCGACCCUGACGCUGAGGCGCGAAGGCGUGGGGAGCGAACGG